AAGUCGUAACAAGGUUUCCGUAGGUGAACCUGCGGAAGGAUCAUUAACACGUAUCCAACGUUAAACAACCCUGUGAACUUUCAGACGCUCUUGUAGCCCAGGAGGAACAGCAGUAAAUCAAUGGCGGAAAAGUUUUGAUUCAUGGUUUCCCUAAGCAGUGCAGAAGGAUCCACUGAGUAAGGAUAACGCAUCACGGUUGCCGAAGGUCGAUCACCGGGCAGACAUGUCACAGGGCUUUACGCCCCUUCAUUCACCCCUUGCCUAAUCAAGCCCCGCGGAAACGCCGGGCAAAACAAUCUGAACAACUGUUAACAAUGGAUAUCUUGGUUCUC
rnacentral:misc_RNA from 1 species